UAAGCUCUCAACUAGGACCCCCCC
rnacentral:piRNA from 1 species